CUUUGCUUUCCUUUUACCUCUAAUUUUCCUUCUCAAAUUUUUUUCUCAAUAGAAACAUAGAAUGUGACGGCCGAGAAGAACCAUUCGUCCCAUUUAGUCUGCCCAAUUUUCUAAAUAUUUUCAUUAGUCCCUGGCCUUAUCUUAUAGUUAGGAUAGCCUUAUGCCUAUCCCACGCAUGCUUAAACUCCUUUACUGUGUUAACCUCUAUCACUUCAGCUGGAAGGCUACCCUCUCAGUAAAGUAAUACUUCCUGAUAUUAUUUCUAAACCUUUGCCCCUCUAAUUUAAGACUAUGUCCUCUUGUUGUGGUAGUUUUUCUUCUUUUAAAUAUAGUCUCCUCCUUUACUGUGUUGAUUCCGUUUAUGUAUUUAAAUGUUUCU